CUUCAAUUUUGGGACGUUUUGCCCCUCAACUUAACGGAGCCGUUAGGUUGAGGGGGCAAAACGUCCCAAAAUUGAAG
rnacentral:pre_miRNA from 1 species